rnacentral:lncRNA from 1 species
GCUGGGGAUCGAACCCGGGCCGCACGCAUGCCAGGUGAAUGGGCUACCGCUUGAGCCACAUCCCCAGCCCCAAACUUGCAAUAUUCUUGCCUCAGCCUUCUGAGUAGCUGAAGAUAGUGGCAGGUACCACUGUACUUGGUUCAGAAAGUCAUUUCUUUGAUGUGCUAUACAUUUAUAUAUCAGAAUACUGUUACAUGCAUGUUGCUGGAUCUAUUUUCAAAGAAACACUUAGGAACCCAAAAAGCAAAUCAAUUAAUUUUUUGUUUUGUUUUGUUUUUUCAGUACUGGGAAUUGAGCCCAGAGCCUCAAGCAUGGCUGUUUUACUUUGUGAGACAGGAUCUCACUAAGUUGCCCAGGCUGGUCUCAAACUUGCAAUCCUCCUCCCUCAGCCUUCGGAGUUGGUGGGAUUACACCAAGUGCAACAUGACUGAAUUCUGACCAUGGAACAUGGACAGAACAGAUAGUCACCAGUUUUAGGUCUUGCCCCUCAAAUCCUCUUCUGUGUUCCUCCACCCUCCUUUCAUGCCUCACUUUCUAUUUUAUUUUAUUGUGGUGCUGGGGAUUGAACCCAGCAUGCAAGGCAAGCACUCUACUAACUGAGCUAUAUCCUCAGCCCAAACAUUCCUCACUUUCCAUAUGGGUUUGGUGGCUCUCAUCGUGGUCCCUGAGGUUAUAGAAAGUGGUGGCCUACUCAGUGGGGGAAAUAUGGGUUCUUGCAUUGCUGUGGGGAAGGUUCACGUUGGACUGCACAUUCCAUUAUGACACAAAUAGGACAUAAGUUUUCACUGUGCUGAGCAACUGAGAUGUUGAGGUCAUAUUUAGAGCUGCUUCGUCAGGUUAGGCUACACUGGGUUGCAAUAACAACCUACCCUCUAAAAUCUCAGCAGCUGAAAAAAACAGUGAAGAUUCAUUGCCUCUCCCAUCCGUGUCUUUCACAGUCACUCAGAGACCCAACCUGAGUGAGGAUUUCUUUUGACAUAUGCUUCAAAACAUGAAGAUGAGGGGGAAAAGGCGUGGUGAAAAACACGAGACAUUAAAUGCUUUGUCACAGAAGUGACAUGUCACUUCUGUCCAUAACGGGUUGACCACACCAUGGCCCAACUGAACCUGAAGUUCUAACACCCCUGUGCCUGGAUGGAGAGAGGUGACAGUGAAAAGCUCUAGCAACCAUCCUGACACAAGGUUCUUCAAGCAGGUGCUGGUGUACACACACACACACACACACACUUUUUAAAAAAAUUUUUGUGUGUGUGGUGCUGGGGAUCAAACCCAGGGCCUCAUGCAUGCUAGGGAAACACUCUACCACUGAACUACCUGCCCACAGCCCACUCACCUUUCCUUGAUUCUGUGAGCAGAAAUUUCUAUUGUUUCUUAAAGGCAGAGUUGGUUUCUGUUGCUUGUAAUCAGAGAAGUUUACUGACAUAUCAUGACAAUUGUUGCUGGCAAAAUUGUUCUAAGGGGCAGCUCUGAUUGUGUGACUCCUGGCUGAGAUGCUUUCAACACUCUUCCUUUGUCUAUAGCAGGGGAUGGCAGCCUUUUUCUGUAAAGAGCCAGAUUGCACCAUGCCGUCUCUUUGGCAGUUACUCUACUCUGCAACUGUAGCUCAGGCAGACACAGAUGAGAGGUAGACAAAUGGAUUUGAUCGUGUUCCAAUAAAACUUUAUUUACAAAACAGACCUUUGGCAGUAGCUUGCCAACCCCUGGUCUCCAGAAUAAAGUGAGAGCUUAGCACGGCGUGGAGGACCCUCCUCUGUCUCUGGCCCUGGUUUUGCCAACUGGGCAUCUCCCUCUACUUCCCUCCCUUGCACUCACUCUGCUCCUGUCCUGUGGCAGCUGCAUAUCCUGCUUGCAAAUCCCUUCCCAUCCUGUCUUAUUGUUUGCUGAAAUCCAAUUAUCUUUAAGUCUUAGCUUAAUUGUCACCUGUAGUGCACAUUGUGUUUUUUGGGCUUUCUAGCUGUUAACUGCCUCUUGGGGGAGAUCACUUCUCCCUCGCUCAGACCACUGGGUAUUGGGGAUUGACCUCAGGGGUGCUCUACCAUUGAGCUACAUCCCCCCGGUCCUUUUUAUUUUUUUAAUUUUGAGAUGGGGUUUCACUAAGCUGCUGAGUCUUGGCUCACACCUGUGAUCCUCCUGCCCCCAGCCUCCCAAGUCACCAGUAUUUAGGGUCCCCUGGUAGGCAGGUACCAAUAACCGUCAUUCGUUAUCACUCAGGGCUUGGACAGGUCCACAGUUUGGGAGUGACUUGGUUGAGCAGUUCUGUUCCAGGGUGUCUCAGUGCUGCAGUUCGGACAUCUCGUGGGGCUGCAGUUAUCCGAAGGCUCAGCUGGUGCCGGACAAUCCCCUUCCAAGAUGGCCCACUUGCAUGGCUAUUGGUGGGAAGUGUCAGUUCCCCACCUUGCUGGGGCCUCUUUCAGGAGAUGACGCUGGCUUUCCCAGAUUAAGUGAUUCAGGAGAAAAAGGUAGAAGCAACAGCGCCUUUUAUGAUCCAGCUUCAGAAUCCCACAUCUGUUCGACACCAGCAAGUCCGGAGUCCAGCCUGCCUCCCAUUGCAGGGGAGCAGCACCGGGCUCCACUUUCUGAAGGGAAGAGGAUCAAAGAAGUUGUGGAUGUAUUUGGAAACCACCACAAUGAUAGAGAUGAAGAGACAAACAGGCUAUCGUGAGAAAAGCCAGAGAUGAACAAGCACAGAAACACACUACCCUGCUUAGGACCUGAGGAGCCAAGGAAGGAAGUGGGGUCCCCAGAGCCCAGGAGCCAGGACCAUGCAAUGGCAGCCAGAAGGGGCUGCUGAUGGGAGCUGGAACCAUGAAGAAGCAGUGCCCAGUGAAGGUGCCCCCAAGGCACACAGGAGGAGACAGAGGCUUUGGCUUAUGCUUAUUUCUUCCUUUUUCCCUCUUCUCUUUGGCCAGAGUCUGCAUAGAGCCGGGAAGCAGAAUGCAUGGCAGCUUGGGAAACAGAGUUCUCUGUGAUGCAGGGGUGAGCUGAGAGGGCUGGGAAGGACCUGAGAGCAAAUGGACUAGCUCUGGGUUCCUUGCAGCUCCCGGAGGUGGCUGGGUUGAUCUGGUGAUGACAACAUAGUUAAAUCUGUCUUGAGGGGCUGGGUGGUGGCUCAGUGGUGGAGCGCUUGCUUCAUGUGUGUGAGGCACCAGGUUCUAGUCUCAGCACCACAUAUAAAUCAAUGAAUAAAAUAAGGUUCAUCAAUAAUUAAAAAAAAUUCUUUCUUGAAUUUAGAUUAAUUUUUCUCUUUCAACCUUUUUAUUGGUGCAUUGUAGUGCACGUGACGGUGGGAUUUGUUGUUACACAUUUAUACAUACACAAUAUGAUGAUAUAAUUUGGCCAAUAUCAUUCCCCAGCACUCCCCCCUCCCCCCAUCUCUUUUUCUACUGAUCCCCCUUUGAUUUUCAUUAGCUUCUCCCCACCCCCCUUUUCCUUUUUCCUCUCUAGCUUCCACAUAUGAGAGAAAACAUGACCCUUGACCUUCUGAGUUUGACUUAUUCUGCUUAAUAUAAUGGUCUCUAGUUCCACUCAUUAUACUGCAAAUAAUAAUUUCAUUUUUCUUUAUGGUAGAGUAAAACUCAAUUGUGUGUGUACACCACAUUCUGCUGAGGGACACCUAGGCUGGUUCCAUUGCUUGGCUAUUGUGAAUUGUGCUGCUAUAAACAUGGGUGUGCGUGUGUCACUGUAGUGAGAUGACUUUAAUUUUUCAGGAUAAAUACCAAGGAGUGGUAUACCUGGGUCAAAUGGUGGUCCAUGCCUAGUCUUUUGAGAAACUUUGAUUUUAAUUUCCAUAGGAUUGUACUAAUUUACAACCCCACCAACAGUGUAAAAGUGUUCCUUUUUCUCCACAUCCUCUCCAGCAUUUAUUAUUAUUAUUAUUAAAAAUAUUUUUAGUUGUAGAUGGACAUAAUAAUUUCAUUUAAAAAUAUUUUUAGUUAUACAUGGAGUCAGUAUCUUUAUUUUGUUUAUUUACUUUUUUUUUAAUGUGGUCUGAGGAUUGAACUCAGUGCCUCACAUGUGGGAGGUAAGUGCUCUACUGCUGAGCCACAGUCCCUAUAACUUUACUUUUUAUGUGGUGCUUUGGAUCGACGGUGCCUCACAUGUGUUAGGCAAGCCUUCUACCACUAAGCCACAACCCCAGCCCUUCUCCAGCAUAUAUUAUUAUUUAUGUUAUUGAUGAAUGCCAUUUUGACUGAAGUGAGAUGAACUCUCAGUGUAGUUUUGAUUUGCAUUUCUCUACUUGCUAAUGAGCUAGUGAUGUUGAACAUUUUUUCAUAUAUUUGUUGGCCUUUUAUAUUUAUCCUCUUGAGUAUUGGCUUAAUUCAUUCAAUCAUUUACUAGUUGGGUUAUUUUUGUGUGUGUGUGUGUGUGUGUGUAAGUUUUUUGAGUUCUUUAUAUAUUCUAGUUAUUAAUCCUCUGUCAGAAGAGUAGCUAGCAAAGAUUUUCUCCAAUUUUGUAGGUUCUCUACAUUCCUAAUUGUUUCCUUUGCUAUGCAGAAGCUUUUUAUUAACUCUUGGCAUUAUUUUAUUAAGUCUUUAUUUUAUUAUUAUUUUAUUAACUCUUGGAAUUAUUUCUUGAGUUUUAGGGGGUCUAUGGAGGAAGUCUUUGCUUGUACCUAUUGGAAUGUUGACCCUACCUUUUCUUCUAGGAGUUGCAUGGUUUCUGGCCCAGUUCCUAGAAGCUUUUUCCAUUUUGAGUUGACUUUUGUGCAGAGUGAGAGACAAGGGUCUAAUCUCAUCAUUCCCAGCACCGUUUGUUAAAAAGGCUGUCUUUUCUCCAAUGCAAUGUUUUUGGAAGUGUUGUCAAGGGUCAGAUGACUGUAUGUGUGUGGGUGUGUCUCCGUGUCUUCUAUUCUGUACCAUUGGUCUGUGUGUCUGUUUUUAUGCCAGUACCAUGCAGUUCUUGUUACCAUGGCUCUGCAGUAUAAUUUGAGAUCAGAGAUUGUGAUACCUUUGCAUUGCUUGUUUGGCUUAGGAUUGCUUUGGCUAUUCUGGGUCUUUUAUUCUUCCAAAUGAAUUUUAGGACUUUUUUUCCUAGUCCUGUGAAGAAUGUCAUUGGUAUUAUUCUCAAUGAAGUAUCAUCUUAAAACUGAAAAUUUAAAGAAAAGGAGUAAAAGGAAAUUCUUCAGAGUGCUUUAAUCUUCCCUAGUAUUUUGACUUCUCUGGGGCCUAAAGGGAAAGGGAACAUUAAUAUCCAGGCAGCAGGAAGCUGACCCGGCUUUGUGUCAAAAAUGGCCUUUUGAAAUUCUCUUCAAAACUUGCCAGCCUUUGAGGACUGACCGAUGCUGUGGACACAAACUCCUCAUCAGUUUCUGGCCCUGUUUCCUUGUCCCUGCAUGUACCUUCUGAUUCCAGGUAGAAAUAUUCUAUUUCGUCCACUCCAGGUAUGUAGGCAGGAGGACUGAAGAUCCAUGUCCUUACAGACAUGUGUGCAGGGACAUCUAUGGCAUGGGGGAAACAACCCAAAUGACCACCAACAGGGGGACGGAAAUGCAAGGUGGCAUCCACACAUCCAGAUACUCUUUCUCCAUCAAUAGGGACGGAUCCCUGACACAUGCUAUGACGUGGAUGAGCCUUGAAAACAGGAUGCUGAGUACCAGAAGUACCCAAGGCCAUGUGGUGUCACAUGCCAUUCCAAAUCCAGAAAGGUGGCAGGCAGACUGUGGGCUAGGCUCAGGGGAAUGGGGAGUAAAUGCUGAUGACUCGAGAAUUUUUAUUUUUAGGGUCUGUGAAAUAUUUUGGUGAUAUUUGAACAACUCUGUGAAUAUGCUGAAACCCGCUGAGUUAAUGCACUUUAAAAGGGUGAAUUUUGUGCCACGUAAAUUGAAUCUCAGUUUUGCAGGAGGGAAGAGAGGAAGGGAGGGAGGGAGGGAGGUGGGCACAUUUUGGAUUGCAGUGUCCCCUGGUUAGUUUGGAGUCACACCCCAGUGGACAGGUUUCUCAUCAUUCAAGUAUUUAUUGAGUACCUCGUAAGGCACAAUUGUUGGUUGUGCUGGUUUUCCUGUGCACAAUGGCUCAAGACCUCUUGUCAACCAAUCUGUGCUGAUAAGUGUAAAAGUGCACAUUGACUACGCUGGAAUGACAGCUCCUGCCCUUGGAGUGCCAGCUACUCAGCAGGCUGAGGGAGGAGUUCAAGACCAGCUUGAGCAACGUCGGCAGAGUUGGUCUAAAAUCAAACAAAACAAAACAAAACAAAAACACAUUGACUGUCACUGUGGUUGACCUGACAAGCCCCUGAGAGUCUGUUGUUCUUUGGAUUAACUUGACUUCAGAUCCUGAAACAGUAAUGUCAAAAGACACCUGGUGACUAAUUACGGCUUCAACAACACAAAAAUUAAAUGAAAAUUAUGUGGCUUCAACAACACAAAAAUUAAAUGAAAAUUAUGAGAAGAAAC